GCUAGCUACACAACCAUACUGUGUAUAAUAGGCCAUAGCGUGGAAAAUGUUGCGUGUUUAGUUUAUUUCAAAUUGAACACCUUGGUUCUGCCCAUGUGAUUCUCGUUCACGGAGUUUUAAUUAUCUGGGUGAAAGGUGAUACUGUGAUCACAGAGCUGAAAUAACAAGACGAGAAAAAUAAAACCAGAAUAAAGAGAAAGAACACUCAGGACAUUACGGUGAGUCACUGUUCCUGUCUUGAAGAACUGAAAUGGCUUAUUCACAGAUCCGACUGAAAAUUCUCCCCAGUGUCCGUUGUCUCUUUGACAAACUGGUGCAGGUAAAAGUAGAGGGACUAGCUCCCUUCAAACCAGUAGAGUUAAGGUCCAAACUGGUUGAUGACAGAGGGGUGGUUUUCAAGGCCUCUGCAUUGUACAAAGCAGAUGAAACUGGCCAGGUGGAUGUUUGCCGUGCACCUUCUCUGGCAGGAAGUUACACCGGAGUGGAGCCCAUGGGUUUGUUUUGGGCCAUGGCAUCAGACACUCCACACAGUAAACUCCUAAAGAAGAAUGUGCUCAGCCCAACACUGGUGGAGAUAGCAGCAACAAGUGCAGAGACUGGUGAGGUGUUAACCUCUGAAACUAACGAGAGAGGAUACAUGACAGAAGGGAUGAAGAGAAUACCUGUGCAAGAGGGCAGGAUACGAGGAGUCCUCUUCAUACCACCAGGAAAGGGUCCAUUCCCUGGAAUUGUGGAUUUGUACACUUUAGGUGGAGGUCUUACUGAACCCAGAGCCAGCCUCUUGGCAGAUAAAGGUUUUGUCGUUCUGGCACUGGCCUAUUAUGGCUACCAGGAUUUACCAAAAAACCCUAAAAACCUGGAUUUGGAGUACUUUGAAGAGGCUGUAACAUAUCUGAGGAGUCUGCCAGAGGUCAGAGGUCCUGGGAUCGGCAUCAUAUCAAUCUCUCAUAGCGGUGCUUUGGCCUUAUCGAUGUCAUCGUUCUUCUCAGGGAUCUCAGCAACCGUAUGUAUUAAUGGCUGCAGUGCAAACACUGUGAUUCCUCUACACUACAAAGACGUUGUAAUUCCUCCGCUCCCCCCUGUCAUAAAAAAUAUUAAAAUCACAGACUCUGGGCUUGUAGAUAUACGCGAUGCCUUACCAGACCCUACCUUGGAAAAGAACAGAGCGUCUUUGAUUCCAAUUGAACGUGCCAGCUGCCAGUUCUUGUUUGCUGUUUCCGAAGACGACCACAACUGGAACAGUGCGUUUUUUGCAAAACAGGCUGCUGCAACACUGAGAAAUCAUGGCAAAGAGUCGUUUCAGGUGGUUACUUAUCCUAAAGCUGGGCACUUUUUGGAGGUCCCUCACAUGCCUUAUUGUUCGUCUGGGUUUCAUGCAGCAGUAGGGCAGGCUGUGGUGUUUGGUGGGGAGCCAAAAGCCCACUCUGAGGCUCAGCUGGACCUGUGGGAAAGAGUCCAGGAGUUCUUCAAGAGCCACUUGGACAACAAGAGCACUUGUUAGCAAGCAGUGCUGCAUCAAGUGUAUCAAGCAUCCCAGGAUGGUCGUCCUUAGCUAUAAUUAGCCUUGGCUUGAGCUUCUAAUGAAUUAAUGUGUCAAAAGGGUAAUAAAUAACACUGUAUAUGUUGUAUAUGUAAUAUUUUGAAGCUUUGGUUUUUGACUUUCCUAGAUUUGAAACAAACACGUCAAAAUGGGGUGCCAACUUUUAUAAGCUUCAUCAUGCCAAUUUCAAUGCCUUCUUCACAGCAGUGAAAUGCACCACUGAGAUUCCCCAUCAGCCUCCAUCAAUGUGAAUUAUCAUUUGUGCAAUGGAUGACAUCUAGUGGCAGCUCAGCCUUCCUACAAUUAUCUCUGAUGCUUCUUACAUGUAGUGAGAGGUAUGUUUUGUCACAUAUACUGUAAUGUGAAACAGAGUGGGAGGAGAACGUUCACAAUGAAAGAAAAGCGUGUAUUUUAAAUAACGUUAAUCACAUUGCUGUGGUUUUAUUCCCAUGUUCAAGUUUAAAAACCUUACGUCACUGCACACACAGGGCUUUUGUCUGUUUCAAAGGGCUGUGAGUUUACUUUGAUGAUGUAAGCUUUUCUCUGAGGGAUUUUAUUAACAGGGCAACCUGCUUCAAAGAAGGGAGUCUGAUUGUGAAGUUGGAGACAUCUCACCCUCCACAUCCAUCUUUAUGAACCCAGUCUUUACAGAAUCUGGUGCGGACAUGUAUGACAUCCUUGUAGAUCAUUCUUAUGCUUUUGGGUGAAAUAAUGGGGAUCCUGGGACUUUCACGAAGGAGAUGACAAAAGUUUUGGUUUUAUUAAUUAAAACAUAAAGUAA